UACUACGGCCAUACCACCCUGGGCGCGUCUGAUCUUGGAAGCUAAGCAGGGUCGGGCCUGGUUAGUACUUGGAUGGGAGACCGCCUGGGAAUACUGGGUGCCGUAAAAA
ensembl:rRNA 5S_rRNA 5S ribosomal RNA